rnacentral:rRNA from 1 species
ACCUUACCUACCCUUGACAUGUCUGAAAUCCUGAAGAGAUUUGGGAGUGCUCGAAAGAGAAUCAGAACACAGGUGCUGCAUGGCCGUCGUCAGCUCGUGUCGUGAGAUGUUGGGUUAAGUCCCGCAACGAGCGCAACCCUUGUCAUUAGUUGCUACGAAAGGGCACUCUAAUGAGACUGCCGGUGACAAACCGGAGGAAGGUGGGGAUGACGUCAGGUCCUCAUGGCCCUUAUGGGUAGGGCUACACACGUCAUACAAUGGCCGGUACAGAGGGCUGCCAACCCGCGAGGGGGAGCCAAUCCCAGAAAACCGGUCGUAGUCCGGAUCGCAGUCUGCAACUCGACUGCGUGAAGUCGGAAUCGCUAGUAAUCGCGGAUCAGCUUGCCGCGGUGAAUACGUUCCCGGGUCUUGUACACACCGCCCGUCACACCAUGGGAGCGGGUUCUGCCAGAAGUAGUUAGCCUAACCGCAAGGGGGGCGAUUACCACGGCAGGGUUCGUGACUGGGGUG